rfam:Myotis brandtii contig190687, whole genome shotgun sequence.
GGCCUCCCUCUGUGGGGUGAUUGAUCGUGGGGGGCCCCCAGAUUGAUCGCCCUGCAGAGGGAGGCC